rnacentral:rRNA from 1 species
GGGGAGUGACGUCAAGUACAGCAUGGCCUUUAUAUCCUGGGCUACACACACGCUACAAUGGGAAGGGACAAUAGGUUGCGAAGCCGCGAGGCGGAGCCAAUCCAGCAAAACUUCCCUCAGUUCAGAUUGCAGGCUGCAACUCGCCUGCAUGAAGUUGGAGUUGCUAGUAAACGCAGGUCAGCCAUACUGCGUUGAAUACGUUCCCGGGGCUU